rnacentral:lncRNA from 1 species
AACACCAUUGCAAAUUACACAAUGCCAUUAUAACGUGGACCUCACUAUAGUAAUUAAGGGUUAAGCCUCAGUCUGCUAAUGCUCAAUCCGAAAGUCAUAGUAGUUGCUGUGCGUGAAGCUAUAUGACGCUGGUUAGAUGGUCUCUCAUACUGUGCCAUUCUUAACCGCACAAAUCGGCUAAAAUAGACAGUAGUCAACAGUAAUCGGCUUGAGUUAAGAAAAAUCGGCUAGAAAUUUGGACUAAACUAUCCAUACCAUGGAAUUUCUUCUUAUGCCUUAAUUUUUUAUGGUUAUAUUCAUUGUAACAGUUAUUUAUUGUAAACUGUUUUCUCUCAUUGUAUUUUUUUGUGUUGAAUUAAAUAGCUAAAUUGAAUAAAAUUAUAAAUGGAAAUAAAUAAAUUGAUUGCAGGUGGAAGCAAGUGAGGAGACACAAGCAAGAGCUCUGCUCCUUCUGCGCAGAGUUGUCAACAGUGAUGCCCAGUUCUAUUCUCAGUUUUUCUCGCGAGAACAAGAUGGUGUGCUAGCAUGCCAUCACCAUGCAAAUCGGGCCUCCAUAUUCUCAAGAUGGCUGAAUUUCUGAUCGAACGUAACAGCUCGGUGACAAGAAAGAACGAAGACCCCUCCAUUACACCUCAUAAAUGGGAUACAAUGACCUUGUGCGCCUUGUGACCUUGUGCUCCACAACUGUGGAGCCGACAUCAACGCUAAAGAUAAGAUGAUACCAAAACAUAUUACACAGUGUAGAUGGACAGAUAGAAAGUGUGAACAUCAAAAGCCAUCGUGUGUGUUACCCAGUUUCCAUUCUGCAUCUAACAAUAGUAACCGAACAUCCAACAUCAUAACUUUAUUAUAUCAUCUAGUUAAUUUUGAUAUCACAUUAACUAAAAAGCUUUCCUCAUAAUAUACAAGAAAUUAAUACAUUGCCGAGAUUGUCAAAGAUGUGAAUUUUCAAUGUGCUUUGAUGCAAAUUAUUGCAAAAAACUAAUAUCAUGGUUAGCUAUGCAUAAAUUAAUAGGCAUGAUGGUCAUUCUUUACUGAAUCGAAAUAAGCUGUUAUAACUUUGUCAACUAUUAAUUUGGUUUUCAAUAAACUAGUUAUGAUCAGAUGCCUUAUUAAUAAAUGCAAAAUUCAUGUAGGUUAUGUAGCUUUUCUGCAAUAAACUAAAAUUACUCAAUAAUUAAGUUGUUUAAGU